GACGAACGCUGGCGGCGUGCCUAACACAUGCAAGUCGAACGGAAAGGACGUGCUUUUGUGCGGUGCUCGAGUGGCGAACGGGUGAGUAACACGUGAGUAACCUGCCCUUGACUUUGGGAUAACUUCAGGAAACUGGGGCUAAUACCGGAUAGGAGCUCCUGCUGCAUGGUGGGGGUGGGAAAGUUUCGGCGGUUGGGGAUGGACUCGCGGCUUAUCAGCUUGUUGGUGGGGUAGUGGCUUACCAAGGCUUUGACGGGUAGCCGGCCUGAGAGGGUGACCGGCCACAUUGGGACUGAGAUACGGCCCAGACUCGUACGGGAGGCAGCGGUGGGGAAUAUUGCACAAUGGGAGGAAGCCUGAUGCAGCACCGCCGCGUGCGGGAUGACGGCCUUCGGGUUGUAAACCGCUUUCGCCUGUGACGAAGCGUGAGUGACGGUAAUGGGUGAAGAAGCACCGGCUAACUACGUG
rnacentral:rRNA from 1 species